rnacentral:rRNA from 1 species
UACAGAGGGGGCAAGCGUUGUUCGGAAUUACUGGGCGUAAAGGGCGCGUAGGCGGCCUGUUAAGUCGAACGUGAAAUCCCCGGGCUCAACCCGGGAACUGCGUCCGAAACUGGCAGGCUCGAAUUCGGGAGAGGGAUGCGGAAUUCCAGGUGUAGCGGUGAAAUGCGUAGAUAUCUGGAGGAACAUCGGUGGCUAAGGCGGCAUCCUGGACCGAUAUUGACGCUGAGGCGCGAAAGCGUGGGGAGCAAACAGG